CCCUUAGAUGUCCUGGGCCGCACGCGCGCUACACUGACGCAUUCAACGAGUUUUACCUUGGCCGAGAGGCCUGGGCAAUCUUUUAAACCUGCAUCGUGAUAGGGAUAGAUUAUUGCAAUUAUUAAUCUUGAACGAGGAAUUCCUAGUAAACGCAAAUCAUCAAUUUGCAUUGAUUACGUCCCUGCCCUUUGUACACACCGCCCGUCGCACCUACCGAUUGAAUGGUCCGGUGAAGCCUCGGGAUUGUGGCCAGUUCACUUUAUUGGGAGUUGGCUGCGAGAACUUGUCUAAACCUUAUCAUUUAGAGGAAGGUGAAGUCGUAACA
rnacentral:rRNA from 1 species